AACGAACGCUGGCGGCAUGCCUAACACAUGCAAGUCGAACGAGACCUUCGGGUCUAGUGGCGCACGGGUGCGUAACGCGUGGGAACCUGCCCUUAGGUUCGGAAUAACUCCCCGAAAGGGGUGCUAAUACCGGAUAAUGUCUUCGGACCAAAGAUUUAUCGCCUUUGGAUGGGCCCGCGUUGGAUUAGCUAGUUGGUAGGGUAAAAGCCUACCAAGGCGACGAUCCAUAGCUGGUCUGAGAGGAUGAUCAGCCACACUGGAACUGAGACACGGCCCAGACUCCUACGGGAGGCAGCAGUGGGGAAUAUUGGACAAUGGGCGAAAGCCUGAUCCAGCAAUGCCGCGUGAGUGAUGAAGGCCUUAGGGUUGUAAAGCUCUUUUACCCGGGAUGAUAAUGACAGUACCGGGAGAAUAAGCUCCGGCUAACUCCGU
rnacentral:rRNA from 1 species